UCGGGUCUCGUCGACGCCGCGCAUUUUGCGCACGAGAGGACGAAGCAGUCGGAGGGGAGGGACUUGAUGACGUGGCAGUGAGUGAUUGUGAGGUUAUGCAAAUCGUACGAUUCGGCACAGGAUUUGAAAACGACGGAGAAGAGAACGUCGUCGUGGGGAGUGGGGUGGAGGGAGAGGUGCAUGAAGUGGUGGAGCGAAACGACGACGGAGGGGGUGCCGUUGGUGAGGUCGUGGAUGAGGAAGGAGGCG
rnacentral:lncRNA from 1 species